UAAAGCGUGCGCAGGCGGUUUUGUAAGACUGUCGUGAAAUCCCCGGGCUCAACCUGGGAAUGGCGAUGGUGACUGCAAGGCUAGAGUUUGGCAGAGGGGGGUAGAAUUCCACGUGUAGCAGUGAAAUGCGUAGAUAUGUGGAGGAACACCGAUGGCGAAGGCAGCCCCCUGGGUCAAAACUGACGCUCAUGCACGAAAGCGUGGGGAGCAAACAGGAUUAGAUACCCUAU
rnacentral:rRNA from 1 species